UUUAACGAGGAUCUAUUGGAGGGCAAGUCUGGUGCCAGCAGCCGCGGUAAUUCCAGCUCCAAUAGCGUAUAUUAAAGUUGUUGCGGUUAAAAAGCUCGUAGUUGGUUCUGCGUGCCACGCUGUCGGUUCACCGCCUGCCGGUGCAACUGGCAUGCCGUGGCAUGUCCUGUCGGUGGCGGACAGGCUUCUCGGCGUGCCCUAUGCGUUGUAACGGCGUGUAGGCUGCUGCGCCGCGUCGUCCUCGUUCGCCGGCUCAAUCCUACCGCGGUGCUCUUUACCGAGUGUCGAGGUAGGCCGACACUGUUUACUUUGAACAAAUUAGAGUGCUUAAAGCAGGCUCUUAAAUCAGCCUGAAUAGUGGUGCAUGG
rnacentral:rRNA from 1 species